UCCAACAACAUGGCAGAAACAUGGUGUGAACACUGAGAGGUAUAAAACAUUUAGUAGAGUUCAUAGUAAAGAAAUAAUUUUAAAAACCUGUAACGAAAAAGGACUAAUGUCAAAAAUAGGUUCGCGAAAUGUCCAAACCGGCAGUAAUACCUCUUCAACAAGCGAUAAAGAAAAGCUUCCAGUGUCUUGAAAACAACCAGAAGAUAUGGAAAAGUGUGUUGGCAGAGUGUGGUCCUCUGAUGGUUUCCCUGGGGAACUUGGCAGAGCAGUCGAUAGCUCUGUCCAACGUCCAACUCUCUAACACACCGCUCAGAGUCUUCCCUGAUCUGGAGGAGAGGCUGCGUUUUAAGCAGCAGCACGCCAUAGACACGGUACUGGGAAAAAUGAACGAGAAGAUGUCUUCUCUCCAGUCUGUGAGGGAUUCCAUCAGUAACCAGGUUUCUGGUGUCUUCCAGCUGUAUGAACAAAACACAGAAAGUCUAGAUAUCCCCACUUUAACCGAGCGUUCGGCCAUAACACCGUCAAUUUCUGACAUGUUGGAGUGGCUGCAAGAUGCAGACCGCCAUUAUCGUCAAGAGUAUCCUUUUCUACCAAAAUCUAAACUGGUGUUUACAUUAUACUGUUAUGCUCUGUGUACUUUUUCUCAACUUGGCAUUCAGAUUUCUGAGGAGGAAGAUGCUACUGCAGACACUGCGAGCAGAUGACCUCUCUCUUUUGGAAUCAGCGCCCAAAAGAUGGAAAUCAUUAGAGACUCCUACUGCAGAAGAUCAGAUCUCUGAUACUCUUUGCAAAGUGUCCUUCUUCAUGGAGUCCCAGUGAAGAGAGUAAAAUGGACAUAAGGGGAGCUCUCACCAGCUUGUGACUGUGAUACCAGGUUUCUGAACAGGCUGAGAGAAGGAAAUGGGGAAAUGAUGGGGACAAGAACCCAAGAACAUACCUGGAAAUCUGAAAUGGACGCAUUUGAUUUGGAUUUCAGGAUGAGGACUGGACUUUCUGCUUAGAUAAAGCAUGACUUGCACCAUGCACCAUGACAGCAUUGUGGACUGUAUUUAUAUGUCCAGCUGAAGGAUGAGAUUGUUACACUGCAGAAUAUGCCUUUUUACAUUACUGCAAUGUACAUACUUGAAUAUGAAUACAAGUAACUCUAUAUCUCCCCAUGUCUGUAAUGAAUGAAACAGCUCAAACUGAAAGUAUUUUCUCAGGAAAACCCAGCACGUAUGAAGAUAAAGACAGCUCCAACAUAAUUAGUGAAACACGCCUUAACAAACUUCUUUUAUUUAACAGUUUUAUAUGUGACAAAUCAAGGUUACAGGUGUCACAACAAUGUCAUAUAAUAAUAUUUAAGAAUUCACUGCAAUGUUCACAACAUGAGCCAUCAUUAAAGCCACAGAAGGUACUUUUGUUACAUUGAAUUGAACAUGGACUUUGUUCAGGCGCUACAGUGCAUCACAGUGUAGUAAUGAUGAAAUUUCAAACAAAGAUGCGAAUGUUUAAUACUGAAGACAAAUUCAACUUUACAAAGAGAUAUAUAGGUAAAAUAUAUUAAGAAAUAUAUAUAUAUAUAUCUUUAAAUUAAUUGAGUUUACAUUUCUUCAAACUUGGAACAGAGUAAAUGUAGAAAAGACCCAGAGUUAGAGUUUCUAAAGGCAUUGACUUUUACAUCUCCCAGACUCUUUUGACGGUCAUUCAUCCACUCUUACUGUAGUCUGGCUGCUUGUUAUACGUAUUCCUUUAGUGGUAGACUAUUGGAUGUGAUAGGUUUUGGGGGGUCUGGUGCAGGUGAAUUAGCAAAGCUCCGGCCUAUAUAGCCCCUGCGAUACCUGCCACCCCUCUCCAUGAGCGGGCAGGUGCUGCUCAACACAGCCCCACUGAUCAUAAGAAUAACUGCAGCCGCCCAGCCCAGGUAAAUAGCCUGACCCAGCUCACGUUUGUGCGUCACAGGCACAUUGGGGUUAUAGAAAUCCUGGACGACAGUGUUAGCAGUCCAGGAAACAGGAACCAGCACACACAGACCUGUCAGGAUAAACAGAAUCCCUCCAGAAAGUGCGAUACCGGCCUUGGCCCUGCGGUCGUCCCCGGCACAAGUGGUGCACUUCAUGCCACAGCAGGACACGGUGCAGGAGAGCCAGCCCAUAAAGAUGGCCAAACACAUGAGGGCACGGGCUGCCUGGAUGUCAGGAGGCAAAGCCAGCAUGGAGUCAUAUGUCUUACACUGCAUGUGACCUGUGGUCUGGUAGAUACAGUUCAUCCAGAUUCCCUCCCACUUGAUCUCUGAGGUCAGGAUGUUGGGGCCAAUGAAGGCUGAAACCUUCCAUUGAGGCAAAGCUGUGACAGCGAUCGCCAUAAUCCAGCCGGUCACCGCGCAGGUGAAGCUGAUAAGCUGCAUUCCAGUGUUCACCAUGUUAACAACUCCUCUGUAUCUCCUCAGGGAUUUCUCUUUUAGGUUGUUCCACCUUUUUGGCAAAGUCUAAAACUCCAAAAGUGUCAGUGUAGUUCAGUUUUCUUUCUGAACCGUGUCGUCUUGUUGCUUUACUGUCUGACUUUCUAAGCUUCUUGCGAUGUUUGCCCCAGUGUCUCAGCUGUCAGCAGCCAUUUUCUUCUCUUUUUCUCUUCCUCUUCAACAUCUGCGCAAAGUUUUCAGUCAAACCUAUCUUUGAAUCGUUGCAUUUCCCAGAAGCUUCUUCUUACUAUCACCGUCAGUCCUCGACCAUUCAAAAAGAUUACAGCCUUCCACACUUUCUCCUUCUUUUCAUUCCUGAGUUUGACUCAAUGCAUUAUUGAGUAGCUGAUAACUGUGCAGCCACCUGUGGCAGCCCACAGUUUCAGGAUCGAUCAGGCUUCAGGGCCAGCGUGGUCCAGGCCGUGUGGAUGAAAUGGAUCUCAGCCAGGCUUUUGUGGAAGUGCUUCUUUUGUGUUCUGGUUCAGAAUCAGGAGGCUUAGUGUUGAGCUGCCGUGUAGUUCAGUGUCUGUCUCCUGGUUUGGUGUUUCCUUACUCAGAUGGGUCAGAACAACAUAACCUGAUACUCUGAUUCAGGGCCACUGAUGCUGCUGGGAGUAUAUCCUGUCACAGCUUGAAAACAGUGACGCUAGAUUACACAAAGAAAAAAGUGGUGUGCCUUUUUAUCUGAACAUGUAACGUAUAAUCCAAGGGAAAUGAAUCGAACAUCCUUCCAUGAGCAAUCCACUGUUAAGAAAAUGUUACUACAGUCUUCUAUUUUAGCAGAUUUUU